GGUUAGAGCACAGCACUCAUAAUGCUGGGGUCACAGGUUCGAUUCCCGUCGUAGCCA
rfam:Bacteria symbiont BFo2 of Frankliniella occidentalis strain BFo2 contig036, whole genome shotgun sequence.